CAAGAGUCGUUUCGAGUCGAGUUUUGGGUUUUGGUUGUGUGUUUUUUUGUGACGAGAAUCGAGUAGUACAGUGCUACCUGACGCCUGACGCCUAGUCGAGAGGGAGGACAAGGCCAGAGAUUUAUAAUCUAGGGACUAGAGGCCUAGCCUAGGAAGUGCCGAAGAAAGCCAUGCUCUCUAAGGUUAAGCUGUUGUGUGCAAUUAUUGGCCUAAACCAAUUAGAGCGCCAACAAUUGGCGUUAA